rnacentral:rRNA from 1 species
GGGAAAUACGUCCCAUGCGCCGGGUUAAGCCGUGGGGUUCGAGGGUGAAUCGGAAGUACUGGGCGGACAGCGUGGGCAGGCGUUUUGGUAAGACAGGCGUGAAAUCCCCGGGCUCAACCUGGGAACUGCUCUUGUGACUGCAAGGCUAGAGUAUGGCAGAGGGGGGUGGAAUUCCACGUGUAGCAGUGAAAUGCGUAGAGAUGUGGAGGAACACCGAUGGCGAAGGCAGCCCCCUGGGCCAAUACUGACGCUCAUGCACGAAAGCGUGGGUAGCAAACAGGAUUAGAUACCCCAGUAGUC